UCUCCCUCUUUGAAUCUUUUCGGUGAAAAAAAAAAGAUUUAUAUAUUUUGACGGGACAGAAAGUUUUCUUUCUUCGAACCCUUAAAAGAGAGUUCAAAAACUACGCGUCUUUCCCAACACAACGAACUUCCUUUCUUAUCACACUUCCCCCCAAAACCCUAAUUCUCUCUCCCUCUCUAAAAACCUCACUCGCUCUCCCUCCUUUUCCUCCUAUCUUUUUAGCCUCUUCACUCUCUCCUUUUUAUCACUUGAAUCAACUCUUCAAUUCUCUUCCAGAAUUCAUUUCUUUUUUCAAUAGAUCUCUGCAGAUCAUUCAAUGGACGAUCGAGAUAAUCUUGAUCCAGGGACCGAGUUCACCAGCGAGUCAAGCUGGACACUCGGUCAUGACUCAGAUAGUGUCAAUUAUUUCUUCUCCAACGAUCGAGAGAACUCCAUACUCAGCGAAUUCGGAUGGAAUCUUCAAUCGGACGAACCAUCCCGGAUUAAGGACCUCGAUCGGAUAGAAGCAGAAGAGAGGUCCGAUUCGGCAGGAAACCUAGAGAUUCAGCGAUCAUCAGCAGCUGGUCCGGCAAGGUCUAGUGGUAGAGGCAGUCGUGACGUUUCGACUACGAACUAUCCAUCAGUAUCAUCGAGCUCCAGCGAGGAUCCACCCGAGAAGUCUACGGACUCCGGCGGGAAACCGCCUGAGAUACCGAGUACGGUUAAAAAGAAGGGUCAGAAAAGGAUCCGGCAGCCACGUUUUGCAUUUAUGACCAAAAGCGAAGUUGAUCAUCUUGAAGAUGGAUACAGAUGGCGGAAAUAUGGACAGAAGGCAGUUAAAAAUAGUCCAUUUCCUAGGAGCUACUAUCGCUGCACAAAUAGCAAAUGCACUGUGAAGAAAAGGGUUGAACGGUCGUCUGAAGAUCCCACCAUUGUGAUUACCACAUAUGAAGGCCAGCACUGUCACCAUACUGUUGGUUUUCCUCGAGGAGGAAUCAUUUGUCAUCAAGCUACAUUUUCUAGUCACAUGACUCCUCCAAUGUCGCAAUUUAUUUACCCUGGAAUGCAAUUACCCCGAGAAAAUCCUCCGAGUACUGUGGUGCAGUCACGGCCAUUACCGGUUGAAGCAAGAGAAUGCAGUACAGUGUCGUCAACACCAACUCCCCAACUUGCAACAGAUGGACUGCUUGGGGACAUUGUGCCUCCUGGAAUGCGAUGAUCAGGUUGAGAACGUGCAGAGAUGGUGUAACAUUGUUGUGGUGGCCCAUGUUCCGUGAGCAGGACGGCGAACUUUAUUUUGCUUAGCCCGUAGUGAGUCCACUUCACUGAGACUCUUCCAAUCCAACCCACUGGCAUGCAGUAUCCGACGUUGAUAUGCAUGUGCUUUUGCAUCAGUGCGGUGAAGUUUAUUGCAGGGAAAUCACGGGUAACUAUAUGUAAAAAUAAUAAAAACAUUAAAAAAAAUCAUAGUUUAAUUUUAUUAUAACUAAAAACUCUAAUUGAUUUUUAAAAGCUUGCCAUCUUGAUUUUUAUGUAUUAAAAAUUAAUAUCACUUCAAUUUAAAUUCUUUAAAUAUAUUAACCUUUUGUUUAUGAUUGUGGACUUUGCAACAUAGAGAUGUUUUGGAGAGGUUUAUCUUUGUUUUUUUUUUUUUUUUCCAUGUGAUAGCUUAGUUGCAACAGUACUUUUAUCUCCUUCGUAUUUUCUCUUAUUUCUUUUGAUUGGCUAAAAACUUUCAAAACAUGUUUCUAGUUCUAGUGUGAGGAUGAUCUUAGUCUAGGUUUUAAUCUAAAAAAAAAAUAUUAAAGGCUCAAAAGGAAACUAAGGGAAUAUUUUUUUUUAUGAAUAAUAAACAAAAAAUGGCAUUUCUUCAUCUCUUUACCAAAUUUGCUCAUGGCCCUCUUAAUCUUUUUUGCUUAUCAAUAGCGUGGAUUUUUACUUCAGAAUCAGUUGAUAGUGCUUUUUUACUCUCUUUUUUCUUCAAGUUUUAGCAAACUUUUCCUUCAGAUACCGCUUUUCACCACCUUUUCACCAAUUUAAUAAAUAUUUGGAAAUGUAAUAGUUUUUAUAGUUGUAUUUUAAAAAAAAAGAUUUAAAUAGACUUAAUUAUAAAUUAUAGAUUUUUUCUAAAUAAAAAUUUUAGGAUAGAAUUUUUAGUUUCAGCUAUAUAAAAUUAUAGUAUAUAUUAAUUAAUUAAAUAUUUUUAAAUACAAAACAUAGACCGAGUCACGAUACGUUGUCCCUUUGUACGUGAGAUCCAGGAUUGCUGGGAAGCAAAGUGAAAUAUUCACCUCAACUUAUUGAUUAAUUAUAUCGCCGCGGAAAUAAACGCGCCGGCCGUGGUGUGGUGUGGUGUGGUAUUUUCCUACUGACAAUUACCUUAUUAUAGCCGAACACGUAUCAUGGUGGAUUCAGCUGGCGAUUCAAACCGUACACCAUGACAUUAAAAAUGGCGCCGCGCUGUCCGCUGAAGCGUACGAGAGUUGACAUUCAGAAGCCCAUUUCCUCGGCGAUCUUUUAGCGAUUCCAAGGUGGCCGUUAGACAGCGAGGUCAAGUUUGAUAUCCAUCGCAUCGACAAGAUGUGCUAGAAGGCGAGCUCCCCCAUUAAACCAUUUUCUUAUACGUUUUUACAUCAGAUAUUUGUGUUUUGUCCUUUAACAUUUGUAUUAUUUUUACAUUUUCUUGUUUAGUGAACAUAAAAAAGAAAAUAAUAAUUCAAUACACCGUAAGCUAUCAAAAAGUUCAGCCCUGUAAUCAACACUGAUUACAGCUUUUCUUUUUCUUUUCUAUCCCUGUAACUUCACGGCCUUUCAAUCAAGUGCAAUCCAGCUGCAAAAGGCGUAAUAAGCUGUGCACCACAGAUCCAGUGCUUGUGCACCACAGAUCCUUUCCAGUGCAACUACAUGCAGGAAGUUAAGCUCUUGCAUUUUGUUUAGCUGGAAUGGACCGGCCAGAGCAUAUGCAAUGAUGGGCCGGCUUUAAAGUAGUUGAAGAAGAAGAGGAGGAAGAGAAAUGUUUCAGUGGCGAGAGCCUCUCCAUUAGAGCCUUCACCAAAUACUUUCAGACCUCUGUGAUUGCUGAGGUAACUAAUCUAACUGAGUUGAGUCUUUGAUUAAUCUUGUUUUGACUUUUGCUGAUCCGGAAAUGGUUGUUACGGUGUGCUACUGCUAACUACACUUACUUGCUACUGACAACUAACUUCUGUUUAUCCAUCCCAUGGAUAGAUUAACUACGCCAUUUUGGCUGGUGUGGUGGAGGCGGCAAUAAUGAGGUGGGGGGAUAAACAAGUGAAGAAGAACAAGCUCACGCAUGUGCUGAACUCUUUUGUAUUUGCUAACACGGUUUUCUUAUGAUUAACUCAAUUGCGCUCAAACAUGUGGAUGAAUUUACUUGUUCUUCCAUUUGUUGUAAAAAUGAGCAUGGACUCAGAAACUGAAGGUUGAGGUUUCAUUAUACGUUAUAGAAUGCUAUGAUUCUUAUCCA